rnacentral:rRNA from 1 species
GAUGAACGCUGGCGGCGUGCCUAAUACAUGCAAGUCGAGCGAACAGACGAGGAGCUUGCUCCUUUGACGUUAGCGGCGGACGGGUGAGUAACACGUAGCUAACCUACCUAUAAGACUGGGAUAACUUCGGGAAACCGGAGCUAAUACCGGAUAAUAUUUCGAACCGCAUGGUUCGAUAGUGAAAGAUGGCUUUGCUAUCACUUAUAGAUGGACCCUCGCCGUAUUAGCUAGUUGGUAAGGUAACGGCUUACCAAGGCAACGAUGCGUAGCCGACCUGAGAGGGUGAUCGGCCACACUGGAACUGAGACACGGUCCAGACUCCUACGGGAGGCAGCAGUAGGGAAUAUUCCGCAAUGGGCGAAAGCCUGACGGAGCAACGCCGCGUGAGUGAUGAAGGUCUUCGGAUCGUAAAACUCUGUUAGUAGGGAAGAACAAAAGUGUAAGUAACUGUGCACGUCUUGACGGUACCUAAUCAGAAAGCAACGGCUAACUACGUG